rnacentral:rRNA from 1 species
CAAAAACAUAGUCAUCUGGGUGAUAGAUGGUUAAGUCUGCUCAAUGGUGUAAAUGGCUGCAGUACCCUGACUGUGCAAAGGUAGCGCAAUCAAUUGGCUUUUAAUUGAAGUCCUGAAUGAACGAAUUAAUGAAGGAUAACUGUAUCAGAAGUGAUUAAUGAAUUUACUAAAGGAGUGAAAAUACUCCUACGAUAAUAAUAGACGAGAAGACCCUUGAAAUUUUAAGACUAUAAUACCAGACUUUUUGUUGGGGCAACAGAGUAACAUUUAACUUACUUUAAGACAAGGUGAUUAUACUAUGUAAGGUUAAAUUACUCGAGGGAUAACAGCAUAAUUCAUUAAGUGUUUAUGACCUCGAUGUUGGACUAGGGAGUUGUUGUUCAGAAGAUAAACGGCCACGCUCUGUUCGAGU